rnacentral:rRNA from 1 species
UACAUAGGGGGCGAGCGUUAUCCGGAAUUAUUGGGCGUAAAGGGUGAGUAGGCGGAUGUGAAAGUCUUUGGUGUAAGUGCAGUGCUUAACGCUGUGAUGCUAAAGAAACUUCAUGUCUAGAAUCAGAUAGAGGCAAGUGGAAUUCCAUGUGUAGCGGUAAAAUGCGUAAAUAUAUGGAGGAACACCAGUGGCGAAGGCGGCUUGCUGGGUCUGGAUUGACGCUGAGGCACGAAAGCGUGGGGAGCAAACAGG